CGUCCAACCCCAACUACUACUUCAUCUGGGCCGUCCGCUUCGGCAUGGCAGACGAUAAAUACCUGUCCUCGGUGUAUCCUCCGACUCCGAGCAAACCACCAACAAAGCCGCCGCGUUCUCCUCUGCGACACGCAACCUUUUCCCCUCCCCCUAUAGACUAGACCAGAUCCUUGAUAUAGAGAAGAACACGCUACCUCUGUCUCGGCAAGGUGAGCCCGUGCGUGAGUCUGUCUACCAUGAAUUUUCCCUCGAAACCCCCGUGUGCUCUCUGGUUCGCAGGUUCCUCGUCGAUCGACGGGCUGGGCUUGCGGCCGUCUUGGAGCGAGAUGCGAGGCGGCUGCAUCUUCCGGUCUGCCCGUCCGUCGAGUCAGAUCUGUUAUCUAUCUGAUGGCCCGGCGGCGGAUCUGGGGGUUCCAGGCGGUCUCGGGUUGACUCUGCGGUGAGGAAGGCGUCUUCUCCGACGUGCACGUGUGGAUCCCGGCUUCUCCGCCUCGCGCGACGACGGCUCUUGUAUUGAUAAUUAUCUGAUGAUAUCUCGAUAAUUAUUACUCCCUCCGUUCCAAAAUAGAUGACCCAACUUUGUACUAAAGUUAGUAUAAAGUUGAGUCAUCUAUUUUGGAACGGAGGGAGUAGAUCUAAGAGAUCGGAGGUAAGAGCAUGUAACAAGCGAGGUGAUCGUGCCAAGAGGGAAAAAGGAGUGAAAAAAGAGAGAUGUGACAUCUAGAGGCCUUUGCCAUGUUGGGUGCGCUCGCAUGGCAGGCCGCCACCGUAAUAAAGAUGGUUCUUGUGUCCCGGGGGGAGAUCGCACGGGGGUUAUUCUGUUUUAGCCCCGGGGUCUCCCCCCAUCGUGUCCUGGUGUGCUCCUUUGUCUGCACCUCUCGUCCGAUCCGAUCUUCCUGGCACAACGUUCUACCGUCGCGAAUCGAUCAUGGAGCUACCGACCAAAGACCAAAGGUACAAUCGAUAAUCUACAGCUGAAGCAUACAUAAACUUAAGACAAAUUACUGCUCUCGUAAAUUGUAUUCUGUUCUGACAUCGUUUACACAGGAAUUCGUAAUCACUGGAACCUAUUUAAGUUACUCUCAUAGUUGUGGUAAAAUUAUUCGUGUGAUUCGCUGUUGCAUUCGUGUGAUUCGCUGUUGCAUAUAGUACCACAUCACAGCUCAAAUUUGCACUUCAAUAACAAUCGGCGGUCCAAACGACCAAAUCGCUUUGGUAUCAGAUUCAAUAUAUUUUAUUUUUUCCUCAGAAUAUGGUAUAUGUGUCAGGUUGUUAUUGUGUCUAAAUUUAUGUUAAUAUAUUUGAUGAUCACAAUUUGAUCUUGGUCUCCUAUUUCAAUUUGUAAACUCUUACCUAAUGUAGCCUGAACAGCUGUAUGAUCGGAUUGUAUAGUACACAAAUGAAAUCUACAGUUAUCUUCCCUGGACCUGGACAUCAUAUUUGUUCUAAUCGCCAUUGGCUGAACCACUAUGAAGAAGCCUGCCUUGAUUUUGGAAUAUGUGCUCAGCAGAAGAAUCUAACCUGGGACGUGGACCUCAAUUCCGGUCAUUGUAGGCCCAGCAGACUUUCAGAAACUGGUUAAGAUGUGCUCUUCAUCAGUAAAUUAUGUGAUAUUUGAUUCUUCUGCAGUUAGUCCGAAGCUGGUUAAGAUGUACUCUUCAUUAGUAAAUUAUGUACUAUUUGAUUCUUCUGCAGUUAGUCCGUGGUUAGUUUUAGUUCAUACAUUGCUUUUAUGCCACACAUAAUUUCAUAUUGAGCAAGUCUAUUUUCAAUCUUCUGAACUAUUUUUUUCCCAUUAUAGUUCCAAUAUAUCUGUCAGUAGUUUUAGUUGUGUUUUUGUCCAGUUGUGUACACAUUCUGUAUAGGGAUUUUCGUGGAUCUUGUGCAGUUGGUUUAUUGUAGUACAUAGUUCUGUGUUAACUGCAAAAUUCAUGACAUGGUGUAGGUUGAUAAAUGAAUUGGUAUGUGCAGAUAA